UCCUCAGAGUCUACACUAGAAGAUAGGAGCCCCCAGUCCCUGGCUCUUGCCUCACCCCCUUCUCCUCUGCACUUGCCUCUGUCCUACAUUGAGAGAGCCUCUCACAGGGUCCUGCGGAGACCCCAGCUUGGGCUCUUGCCUCUAGCUUCUUGCUCCAAAUAACUGCCCCUUGAUUAUCCCUCAGGCUUAGCGAUGCCCAUAUCAUCACCAAGGUCCUUCUGGAGAAGAUCCUAGGAGAUCCAAGGAUCUUUGAGAGAUCCAAGGAGCUCACAUCUUUAACGCCCAUUGAUGAUUGCCACGCUUUCACCGCUCGGCGGGAGCCCCAGCUUAGAAGAAGUAACUCCAGGCUCACCUGAGCAGCACGUGCGCCCCCCGAGGGCAGGGAUUUCAGGGGAUCUGCUUUUUUUUCACCUGCCAUUUGCCCCGUGCGCUGGAACAGUUCGUGGCACGUACCAGAUGCUCAACAAAUACCUGUUUAAUGAAUGAAUUUAAAAGUGCAAAAAAAAAAAAAA